rnacentral:lncRNA from 1 species
UUUGGCUAUGUUCCUAAGAACUGUCCACGUCAAAAACCUCCUUCUCCAGAGAGUCCCACCUCCCAAUCAUCUUCUGCAUCUCCGACAUCUAUCCACGACUCGUCUGAAGAAUGGCACACAGUGAAAUUUCCUUUGCGGAGGAAAAAAACAAUAUGGGCAAAGAUUUUGCUACAAAUUCAACUGCCAAGGCUGAUUCACGCAAAUCAGUGUCUAAGGCUGCCCAGGAAAACAAUAGUUCACCACUAUCAUCAGGUACUUCUUCUUUUCCCCUUUUUAAAUUUGCUGCUGCACCCAAGCAACCUACGAAAACUCAUGGUACUUUCACUGUUAAUACUACUACUGAGCAUAUCCCUGCUAAUACUAAAAAUACUCUUAAUAAUAAGCGAUCUAGACCUGGUAUGGGACCCAAAAUUGCUCUUUCUAGCUCUAAUAAAUUCAAUGUUUUGACUGAAUUUUCUGCUUAAUUGCAUAACAAUUGCUCUGUUCCUACUUUGUCAGACCGGAUUCUUCCUACCAACUAAACUGUAGGCCUCUUUAGUGUAAAAAAUUCUGACCCUACUUUUUUGCAAAUAAAAUUACUUGUGGACUUCAAUACCAAAUUUUUGACACACUUUUGCCUCUUUCUAAUGUGGACGGCCCACAACAAAAUCCUAAUAUUAACUCUUCUAAUUUUACAAUUCCACUAGAUUUUUUUAUGGCUAAGCUGUCAAUAGUCCCUACCCCCUUUCCCUAACUUAACGACAAAAAAAGACUUUUACCAGGACACUUGUCCGUCCAUGGUAACAUGCAUGACAUGCAAAAUCUUCCUAUUGAUCUCCCUUCUUUAAAUUCUUAUAAUCAUUGUAAUCUUUCUACAUCUGCUACACUCCUUGCAUUAACUCACCCACCAUCACUUUUACUAUCACACCCCUCCACUGUUAAUUUAAAUACCAAAGCGAACUCCAUCAAUGAACAACAAGUUUAUAGUCCUACCAAUACGUCUAUGGGUUCGCCUUUCUCCACUCUCUCGUCCAUUCCUAUCAUCCAACAUGAACAAUUCUCCUCCAUUUCCUCCUCAAACGACUCUACAUCCAUUACUAUAUGCGACUCAACCAGUCCAUCCAUCACACCAACCACUAACUUGGAUCGAAAAAACCCCUCUAAGUUAUGUAGCCCUCUUCUCAAUGAAUAUCAACGACGUGGAAACUCUUGUCAUUCUCCAAAAUCAAAACUUCCUGGCUCAGCUCAUCUCGGAAGGAAUGAAAAAGGCCAUCGAAUAUAUCGUAAACCAGAUAUGGCAUUCCAACGCUAUGAAUUCAUUAGUACAAUCCUCAACUUCUCAGUUCAUCCACACGAUGCGACCUCUGUGGAAUCUCCAACAUCUCCUCAAUCAAUUUUCCAACAUGAACGAAAUUGCUCGGACUUUGUUCUUUACUCCGCAGGAGAUAGUUAAGGCCAACCCACUUUUCUUCCUUUGGAACCCAAUCCUACUGCAACAAGGUCAGUUUGUAAACCUGGACUCUCUCUUCCCAACACAGGCUCCGGUUCCAGGCGAGCUAGAGACUGCGGUAGUGAGGAGGAAGUCCUUCACGAAAAUCUCAAAAACACAGCUCUCAUGAUCUUUUUCGAAGAUGAGGACAAGAAGUACAUUCACUUGUGCCCAGUCUCCCUUCUCAAGAGUUCGUUCGAUCUACAGCCUGCCAUAAACAGUGCCUUAGCGAAAUUUGCAGUUGUGAUGACUUUAACUCUUCGUUGUAGUCAGUUUUAGGCUGGUGAAAGUUCACAACCUUUUCUCAACUUUUUUUCUCCCAUGAAUCAAGCCACGUGUUUCAUAGUCUGGAAUACUAGAGGAGUAAAUAAUGAGAACUUUCGAAGGAAUUUUAGGGAUCUCCUUAACUCUUACAAUCCGUGUUUUCCUGCCCUUCUGGAAACUAAGUUAUCUGAUCAUCUGGGUCUCAUGUACGAAUUUGAUUUUGAUGAUUAUUGGGAAGCCCCUGCUAUGGGUCGUUCAGGUGGUAUUAUUCUUCUUUGGCAUACGAACAUUGUCAGUGUUACUCGCAAGAUACAGACCCUAGGAACAGCAUGCUAUGAUCAAGGUUAAUGUUGGAGAGCAUGGAAAAUUCAGUGGUACAACACAAUUUUCGUGAAUAAACCAAGUUGCCGACAUCUUGUCAAGAAUGGGUUCACGUCUACCACAUCCGGGCAAUGGUCAUAUUUUGUUAUCUCCACCAGUUGAAGUUGCGGUCCAACUCCAACGGGAUGCUAGUGGAGUCCUAUAUAGUAGAAUAAUUACCUGGUCUACGUUUCAUAUGCUUCUAUGUUUUAGGAAUGAAUCUGUAAGUACUAGUUUGUAUGUACCUCUUAAUGUUGAGCCUAGUAUAAGUAGUAUGUUUUGUAAUAACUAUAAUACUCUUGCCACUGCCACAAGCAAUGCUUCUUCUCGUUGUAACCCUU